AACAAGGUCCACCAAACAACGGAGCUAGACAGCAAAAUGGCGGUGGCCUGGGCUGGCAUAAUAGACUGAGGAGUGCAAAGGGUUAAUUUACUAGUUGCAUGUUAUGGCCAUUUUUUUGCGGAUAAGGGGUUUAAAAUGAAUUUAACUCUAAUAUUAUAAGUUUGAACUAUUCUUAAAAACAAAAUACUUGAUUUGAAAUAAAUCAUCAAAGUUAUUCAGCUAAAUUUUAAAAGUGAACAAUACGUUCCGGGAGAACGGGCCUUUUGAAAAGAUUCUGUUCCCGAUGACUAGUUCACCUAACUGACCCGUUCAGACCCUUGACUAAAGACAAAUUUUAUACCCUACUUAAGUAAUCUGUUGAGGAACAAUUUUUUCCUUUUCCCCAGUAACAAAGAGACUAUAAGUUCGCUGUGGAAUCAUGUGUUCUAUAAAAAGCAUGUGGAAAACUUGGACAAGAUGAAGAAGAUACACCAGCUUAUAUGGCUGCAAUGUAUUAAGGUCAUGAAUAAAACUGAACCUCUGAAGAAUUUGUGAAGCCAACAAUAUAAUGUGCUACUUUGCACAAACAUUCAAAGAAGUAGGGGUCAAAUGGAAGAAUAUCUAUCCAAAACACUUCGAAAAUGCUGUCUAAAAUGUACGAGAAAGAAAGAUGACAAUUGGAGGGGCAGCUAGGCACUUUGAGGUAUUGGUGCAGUCAGGUUCAUCAACAACGGAGUGUUCAUAAAUAUCAAGUUGAUGGACUAUAAGUUCGCCGUGUAAUCGUGUUCUUGAAUAAUCAAGAAAGCUAUUCCAUGUGAUCAGAAAUUACACCUUGGUUUGAUUUCACUGAUGGUGGUGCUAUGACUGGCCUCAGGGGAGUGUAAGUGGGGUAGUAAAAUGAGGAAGUGGAAUUUCCAGAAGGUUUAUGAAAAUGUAUAAUCUCUCUGUAUCAAUCUGAAAAUUGUGCAAAUAAACUUAUAUUUAAUUUAA